GAUUUCAACUGAAAAAGUCAUCAACAACAAAGUUCAAUAACUCAUCAAGAUCUAAAACUUUUAUUUUGGUCAUUUCUUCAUCCGAUAAAGUGAUAGUAAUAUUGUUCAUAAAAUUGACAUAUCUCUUAUCUGGUUUUAUAAACUAUAACACAGGUGUGUAAAUUUUGUGAACAAUGUUACUAACACUUUGUCGGAUGAAGAAAUAACAAAAAUAAAAGUUUUAGAUCUUCUUGAGUUAUAAAACUUUGUUGUUGAUGACUUUUUCGGUUGAAAUU
rfam:Oryza barthii chromosome 4, whole genome shotgun sequence.